CAACGUUUUCCCGGUAUUGGCCCCACUGAGCUCGCUCUUGCUCCAGCCUGUGAUGAAACUGGAGCUCAUAGUCAUGAACAGUUUCUAUAAAGCAAUGUCACAGAAACUUUCAUUAUCAGUCAGGCAUCGGAGCCCUGACACUCUCUGCUCAAGGAAAAUCCACUCAGACCACACUACCGACAAGACAGUCCUCCACAGGCCUGCAGGAAAUACUGAUCAAUCAAGAGCCAGCAGUCCAGUUAAGAAGGCUUGCCUACUUGUCAUCAGUGGCAGAACUGGGGAAGACUGGAAGAGAGGAAAAGCUUCUCAGUGUUAACCCAGGAGGUCAGGGCCUUGCCUUCAAGUGCUACAAAAAAGUGCUUGCAUGUGAGGUUUUCUUUCUUUAAUUAAAGGCACAGAUAGACAAAUCCUUUGUUUGUUAUUUCACUGUUGCAAGAUUGAUGCCAAGCUUACUGCAUGGGUACCCUGGUCUAUGCAGGCAGCCAAAACGUUCAGACUAAAGCAGUGAAUGCCUACUGCACCAGAGUGAUCCUACGAGGCAGCGUUACAGAGCAGCCCCACCUGCCACACCGAAAUACAUGAAAAGCUGUAUUCUCUAGAGUAAAUAUGUAACAAGGCAGGCUUCUGCAAUACCUAUAGCCAACAGGUGAGAUUCAGACUACUGUGAUCACUUUGUGUACUCCUAGCAAAAAUAGUUAUCACAAUAGCGGUUAUGUCCUAAAUUACUGUGUGUAUAUUUCUCCUUACAGGUAGUUGGUUUCAAGAUUAAAUCAGUAAGUGUGCAACAUGCUAGAAUGUGAUCUAUAUGAACUAUGCUAUAUUGUUGCAGGAGAAAAAAGAAAGUAUGAUGACAUAUUUAGACAAAACAUGGGAAGAGCCAAUGUGAUGACUAUGGAGGGACAUUUAAAUGUUUGGCAAAGUCAAUUUUGCAUGCCAAAGCAGAGACUCAAGUCAUCCUGAAGCUGCUGUCAGACUAAUCAGUGUAGAGACUGAAGACACUACUACAAAGCAGACACCACCUACCAAUCAAUAUGCCAAUUAAGCUAAUUGGACUUAACUACUUCACUGCCAUAUAACUCACAUUCUGAGAAUAUUUGCUGGGAAGUAUACAUAUUGGGAAUGAGCAUGAUCUGGAAGUCAGAGGACAGGACUGAAGUCAAAGAUUGCUUGGUUUUGCUACCAACUUGCUUUGUAACCUUGGAUAUGUCACUUACAUAAACUGAAAUACAGAAGUUAUCUGUAAAAGAGGGACACUACCUUAUUGCCUCAUGGGAGCAUUAGGAGAUGCUUACACUUUGUGGUCCUCUUAUUACGGGUACUACAGAAUUGCAAAGUAUUAUUACCUGGACCCCAAUUAUGCUACUACCAUGCAAUCUGCAGAAAAAUUGACCCUUUAUCACAGCUGUGCUAGAAAUCUAAGCUUACAUUAAAAACACGUUUCUUGUCCUUAUAGUUACAAAUAUAACUUUCAACUAUAACAGAGCAUAAACAAAUUACGUGUCAUCUUCCAGAGUCUGCAGACAACCUGAAACAAUAACUCUACAAGAUGUAAGCUAUACCAUUCAUCUCAUUGGAGGAUUAAGUCUGAAUUCUAAAGAUAAGAAUUUUUAUGUCAAGCAUUAACUGUUUCACUAUGAUAAUUUUAGCAGAAGCGUGCAGCUAGUGUACUGAUCCCACAAUACCAAACUGCUUCCCGUGCUUCUCCAGUGCAAAAAGGCUCACCCUACCCAACUGCUAGAACUGACAUUUCCCCUUCCCACUCUGAUACUUUCUAUGACGCAGUUUAGGUGUUGUCAGUACAAAAAAUAUCUGGCAUACUGAAAACUGCAGAAGUAUAAAAUGAGCUGAAUAGCAAAACAGACACAGAGGACUUCUUGCUGACAUUAUUUGUUUUCAUACUUAAUUCAUAAAAACCUCAGUUGUAUUUAAAGGAAGCUGUUGCAGAAACCUGCUAUACCAAACUGCCACAGCAUCCAAGGACUUUGCAGAACACAGGAUGCAUUUUGUGGCAAAGUAUAAGGCACCUUGACUAUUACUAUUAUGACGACUUCCUUUCUCCAAUAACAUUUGUGUAGUUAUUUCCAGCUUUUAUAGCAAUAAUUUAGUUUAUCAGACUUAUGUUUAUAGUUCUACUACUUUCAAUCAAUCCUUCUCUUUUUCCUUUCACAUCUCAUAAUACUCUAGUCUCAACCCCUGCUCUAUUUAAACAAAAACUCUUUAAAUUACUAAAUUCCUGACCUUGCAUGCUUUAUGGAAAUGUCUUAUGGAACUAGAUGUUUCACAUAAAAAAAGCACACUAAAAAUAUUUUUAAGUGCACAUUUUAUAUUCCUAAAUAUAAUGCAUACAAUAUUGUAGUCUGCUGCA